GACGAACGCUGGCGGCGUGCUUAACACAUGCAAGUCGAGCGGAGCGGCGAACGGGUGAGUACCGCGUGAGUAACUGCCCCCCUCUCUGGGAUAACAGUUGGAAACGGCUGCUAAUACCGGAUAGUGUGGGAUGACGCGCGUCCUAUCAGCUUUGUGGUGGGGUAGUGGCCUAUCAAGGCGACGACGGGUAGCCGGCCUUAGAGGGCGACCGGACAGAUUGGGCUGGGAUACGGCCCAAACGCUGACGGGAGGCAGCAGUGGGGAAUAUUGCACAAUGGGGGAAAGCAUGAUGCAGCAACGCGCGGGGGGGAUGACGGAUUUCGGGUUGGAAACCGCGUUCAGCUAUGACGCGGUAGUGGCAGAAGAAGCACCGGCUAACGACGUGCCAGCAGCCGUGGUAAUAC
rnacentral:rRNA from 1 species